CCUUUCCGUCAGAGCAAAAGCGAGCCAUGGCGUUGCUUGGGAAUUUAUUUUCGACAGAGAAGAAAGUCGGUGGCUGUGAGGAAAUUUUGUAUGUCUUGCAGAAUAAGCCUGUCAUCGUUCCUGUCUAUAAAGCCAAGAGUGUACCUUGUCGAUGAGGUUUGGUGAAAAACAUCUGCAUAAUGGAGCAUCAAUACUGAUCGUCCACCUCUUUGCGAAGUUUGCGUUUGUGGUAUAGGAUGCUGUGGGCGCAUCCGUGCUUGCAUGAUAUUUAACGGUGAACGUGGAUUAAACUGGAUAUCCGUCAACCGAAUCACAACUUACCACAUUAUAGUCGCAGUUUACGUUCAUUUGGAACUUUAUUUCAUUUGGAGACUCCACUCCAGGAUAUGCCCAUCGCCCGUUAGUACGUGUAAUCUGAAGCAGCGUUCGACCUCACCUGAAUCUCGUGUCGCUGGUUUGUGGCUACUCUAUGCUUAUGUCAUUACUGUGCAAGGUCUGUAAAUGCAUAAUGCAAGGUGAUGGCAAUUGAUGGAUUCUCUAACUGCAUUCGAUUAAUCACUUCAUUGCAACUCGCAAUUCGUGACUGCGCAUCACAAAGGUCACGGUCAUAUCCAUAGAUACUUGCAACCACGAGUCUUUGUAGCAAAAAAUACAUGUUUAGGAAGAGGACUUCUUUACGCAUUAACGAAACAUGAUGUAUUUGUGUAUAUAGCAGAUGAUGCAGUCUUGCGUAAGCUUUCCUUAUUGCUACCUAUUGGGUGCAGUCUAGCAUUUUAUCUCAAUGCAUCUAGGCUAACAUGUACUGUAAAUAAUGUAAUACAGUAAUAAUACACAUCAAAUUUAACUCAUUAUUCACUAAUUAUGAUAACUGACCAGUUCCAGAUGCCAUAGUCAUUAUAUCCAGUGUGGUAUUGUGUAAAAUCAGAAUUUCACGUAUUUGUAAUACUGUGCUUGCUGAUAUCAAUAAUCGGAAUUCCGGAAUAAACGCAACUAUGUGUAAAAUAGACUUGUA